ensembl:ncRNA T01C2.3 ncRNA
GCAUGUGAAUUUUGAUUCGUACAUUCCCUAAGACAUGUAUGUAAUAUAAUAUCCAGCUUUUGAAAAAAUCACUUGCCAUUAGAAUGACAAUUUGGAUCGAAAGGAGUAUGAACAGAACACCAAUGACGAGACUGACAAGUCGGGCGUGUUUGAUGAGGGCCUGAAAUAAUUAGAUUAAACGCUCAGUGAAGAUUGGUUAAAUAAAAAUUCUGAAAGUAACUCCAA